CCAGUAUUUUGUUGAUGGUCCUGGAAAAGACAAUGGAAUUACAUCAAUGUACUUACAUUUUGACAUUACCAGGUACCGCAAAAUGACAUCACUAAGGGUGUUACCAUGUGCUUGGAGACUCGCAUCUACAUGAGAAAUUGCUUGGCCUGACGUACAGAAUAUCGGCUGAUGCCUUCUUCCAAGUAAACACCCUUGGCACUGAACGUCUGUACGCAUCAAUCUGUGACUGGUGUGAUGUCAACGAGGACUCUAUUGUCUUGGACAUAUGCCGUGGUACUGGUACGAUUGCCUUGGCACUGGCAAAGAGAGUGAAGAAAGUGAUUGGCGUGGAGAUGUGCGAACAAGCCGUGGCGGAUGCCAAGCAUAAUGCAGGACUGAA